GGGCCUUGGACCUGUGCCCCGCCCAUGGAACAGCGCCUGGGCUCGGAGAGGCCCCGCGAGGCCGCAGGCGCAGACCCUCCCGGAGGGCUGGGCGGGCACCGGGGUCUUCGGCUGGCUUGAGGGACACGACCCCUGGGGGAGGAAUUUGGGGUCUGUGUGUCCGAAUGAACGCGGGGGUUCAGAUGAGUCUGUGGUGCCCCCGCUUUCCAUCUCCUCCGGCCCCGGCCCCAGAGGACUGAGAGGCCGGUGGCCGCGGAUCCUGGACGCGCCUCCCUCCUGCCUGUGGUUUCCCUUUAUUCCGGCAGCGGCGCGAGCCCACCGUUCACAUACAGGAGCUACAUCCAGAACCUUCUCCUGGGGCCACAGCGUGGGCUUCCGAGACUCUGCGUGACCCCAGCUCUGCCCCUUUGGGGCUGCGGGUGAAGCCCUCAGGACCCUCUGCUUUCUAAGGAAUGAAUCCCCGAGUGUGGCAGGAAGGACACAGCCGGCUCCUGACGCACACCUGAUUUGAUUCAACACUGAGUCGGCACAGACACAACCAGAGAUGGCCUGGGUCCAGGCUGGGGCUGCACGGGCCGUGUCCUGGACAGCCAGGAGGGAGGCCCCGCACACAGACGGCCGCCGGGCAGGGGGCCUGAGCGGGACAGGCCUGGCCACAGCCCAUGUCCUUGGCCUUCCACAUAGGUGCACACAUUGUCUGUCCAGAGAGGGCCAAGACACCCCAGGCACCCCUUUGCUCCAGGGGCUCAGGACACAGGCUCCCAGCUGAGGCCACGCCUGGACCCAGAGCUGAUGUUUGGCUGCACGCGAGCCCACUCGGGACAGACCCAAGAACACGAAUUCUGUCCCUCUGGAUUUAAGGCUGGUGUUUUUUGACAUUUACUUCAGUUUUUCUCUUUGAAAUUAAAAUUACCUGAGUAAAAGAUUUUAAGACAUUAAAAAAGCCAAAAACACAGAAUCCCUGCAGGCAGACGGUACCAGGGAGGUGGCGGCCAGGGCCAGGAUGCCAGGGGCACGGGGGGGUCGGCUGGAGCUCCAGGGCUGGGCCUUUCCCAGUCUCGCCUGCCCUGGAGCCCCCAGGAGCCGCCCCUGGGCCGACGCUCCUGUGGCCGGAGCACAGGAAGGCACAGUGAGGUAGGGACAGUGGCCAUUGUCCCCCGCCCGCCACCAGGGCUGAGAGGGCAGCGCACGCCUCGGCCCCUCCUACAAGCCCCUGCCCCCUCGGAGCUGGGUGUCUUGUCCAGAAGCCGGGGAACGGCCCCUGCAGUGUGGGAGGGGAGGGGCUGCCGGGAGGCCUGAGCUCAGACAGUUAAAUAAUCCUUUAUUUGGGUGGGCUGGGGGAGGGGUGACUGGCCCAGGAAGGCAGGCGAAGCCGGGCCCAGACCCCCAUGGGGGGUGGCAGGGGCCUCGGGCAGGCUAGGAUGCACCUGGCACCCAGAAGUGCCGCGGGGGCACUGGCUCCUCAGGGGCCCGAGCGGGCGGGGAGCAGUCUCCUACUUGUGCCGGG
rnacentral:lncRNA from 1 species